AUGGCGCUCGUCGUUUGGGACCCCAUGACGGGCUGCCGGAGGGAGAUGAACUUGCCGGACGUGGUGUACAACAACUACGGGGCUGCGGUGCUCUGCGCUGCGACCGGCUGUGACCACCGUGCGUGUCACGCAGCCCCCUUCCAGGUGGUCUUUGUCGGCCUGAACUUGACUGAAGAAGGUGAAUGUGUUGCCCACGCGUGGCUGUCCUUGCCGGAGACGAGUGACUGGAGCAAGCCGUGCCUUGGUCUUCAUCUGGCAGCUGAUGCAUUCAUCGAGCCAAUGCCCCCUGUCCUUGUUAAAGAAGCACUUCACUUCAUGCUUGAGUAUGAUGAUGAUGAUAGUGUAGCAAUUCUCAAGUAUGACUUGAGCUCUAAUUCCUUAUCGCUCAUUGAUGCGCCAAUUAUGGGGUCUGACGUUGCUGGUGCCACCAUGCUCAUGGCGAUGACAGAUGGCAGUUUAGGGUAUGCACUUGUGGUUGGGUUAAUGCUCUACCUAUGGUCAAGACAGAUGGAUUCCAGCAGAGUUGCGCCAUGGGGUCCAUGUACAAAUAUCAAUCUUGGGAAGCUUCUCCCCAUCCAAAAUCACAAGAAAAGACUUAGACUGGUUGGAUCCGGGGAAGCCAGUGAUAUCGUUUUCGUGACCACAGACCUGGGCAUCUACGAAAUUAAUGUCAAGUCGCAGCAGUGGAAGAGGCUAUGGAAGAGAGAGAAAUUUUGUGCUUUGAUUCCGUUCAUGAGUUUUUACAAUCCA
rnacentral:rRNA from 1 species